CUUUUAUUGGCGAAGACUUUACAAUUGAAAAUAAAAAACAAAAUGCAUCCAAGGGGCGCAAGCACACGAGUUAUCGAAAAAAGUAUUUAAGUCUAAGUUAAGGAAUUUAAAAUUACAUGUUCUCUAUUCGAGAGUUUUGAUUCGGUCCUUUUACUAUAUGUCUUUUCUCCCUUUUAUACUCCAUAGAUGAUCUCUUUGUGAUCAACCGUCUAAAAACUGCUUGAUCGUUCUACAACUGCCCACUUUCCUCAUAAUGGCCAGCUUGUCAUGAAAACUGCAUUUUUUAACUGCUGCCAUUACUCUUCGUCGUUCAACCGUUUUCGAUUGAAUUCCUUGAAUCGUGGAAUGUGAUAGGGCUGCUUUAAUAAUUAUUUUGAUAACUGCACUUCUUGAUAACCACAACGCUUUAUGUUUGCUAAGACCUUGGGCGACUUGAAAGUUUGGGCGAGAAUAGAGUAACGGCUCUGGGCGAUUGCAUGGCACUCCAUUCGCUCAGAUUCUGGGCGACUUGCAAAUUUGGGCGAUGGCGUUACUGCGUUCUUGGGCCUCCCUAUUUGGGACUUCAUCUUGAAUUGUUUGAUUGGGCUUCGUUCUUUGGGCUAUUUGAUUUGGGGAUCCUCCAAUUGGGCUUCAUUCAUUGGGUCGUUCGAUUUGGGCUGAAUUUUUAUGUGUCAACACCUAUACUACAUAUGGCUUUUUUCACGUAACCUAGUCGAGGUGGAAAAUGAUGUUUAUCCAAGCUCAAAGAUAAGAAAAAAAGACUGAUUGGACAGCAAAUGAUUAAGUGUUUAUUUUUUAAACAAUCCAAUCCUAUGUUGACGCUUGUACACCCUGUUUUUGAGCUUUUUUUACCCUGUUUGUGUGGCAUUAUUCGAUCAAGGCUAUCAAUAAAGGGAGCAAAAGUAUAUUAUGCAUCUCAAUCGAAGUGAGAUAAGUUGUUAAUAUAUUAUACAAAUUUUAAAAACACAAAAACUAUUCUCUUUGUAGUAUUGUUAAUAUUACUUAUGAGGCUACACUACAUAAGUUGAAAAACUAUAAACCUCUAUUUUAAAAUUUAAACGCCAAAGAGGAGAAAAAAAUAAAUAAAAGAAAGCUAAUUGGGCCCAUAAAAUAUUAAAUGGAAGAGAGUUUCAGCCUUCUCGUGGGCUCUCGUCCAUUCCUCAUCUCCCGCGAACCAAUUAAUCGGAUUCCGCCCUGCACCGCCGGAGAUCCGCCUGGCGUGAUUGGUCUUGGAAUUCCCCGAUUCUGCAAAAACACUUUUAUUAUGCUGCUGCAUGCUCUUCAAUGCUGCCUCAAAUUUACACAUCCCGUCUUUAUCGCCCAUUACGUUCCCUAUUUUAUUGCACAAUUAAGGAAGUGAAGAAAGAAUGUUAUGGACUGAUCGAGUGGGUAAUUCAAAUUACUUGCAGCGAGAGAGGGAGAGAGAGAAUUUAUAUGCAGACGGAGAAGGAGAAUGUCAAAAUUUUGCGAAACUGUAUUUGGUUGAGUGAAAACUGGGGCGGAGCCAUCAGAUUUGAUGCAGUGGUUUUUCCAACGAUUCAAUGGCUUUGAUAGUUUUGGUUAUGAUUGAUGCGUGUCUGCACUUAGAUUUAUGAAUCCUUUGUCAACAAAUUACUCCAAGGUUGCUUUUAUUUUUCACGUGGAUUAAAAAAUUUUAU
rnacentral:lncRNA from 1 species